rnacentral:lncRNA from 1 species
CCAGCAUAAAUGUGGACAUCUGUGAGAAGACACAGAACAGAGCUGGGAGUCAAAGUCUGAGAUGAGGAGAAGGACCCGGAAGAAAGCUUAAAAGCAGCAAAACAGGAAAGAGGGAAGGAAUGAUGGAGAAGAUGCACAGCCUGUUGGCUUCCUUAUGACCUGCACCACACUGGAGUGCAGAGAUUGGAACACAAGCUCUGUCUUCCUGUUGGAUCUCAGCUCUUCUCCAGUCCUUCAAGGAAGAAGGCCACUUGCAUCAUGAAGGCAUGUGCUUGAUUAGUGUCUCUCUGGACUGAAGGCCCAGCCAUGGGACAAGGCAGUGUUUACACAAAACACAGGAGGCACGUUGGAGCAGGAAAUACAAGGGCACUCAUCCUAAGACAACAAGCAGCCUUGGCUGAAAACCACAGAGUGGUUUCAAGGGAUGCUGCUGUCUAG